GCUACACCACCGAGCUCCCCUCCUCCUGAGUUAGCACCUUCAUCGUCUAUGUCGAAAAGGACUAGAAAAGCCACAUGGCUUAGAUCAUUGUUUGCUUGACCUGUGGAGGUGGAGAGACCACUGGUUCAUGUUGAUCCUACCAUUAGAAAAGUUAAUGGUCCACACAUAAAGAUUAAGGACCUAUUUGGUGGUCAUUGCUCGAGACAAGGUGGAUGUUACAUAUGUUCAUUGGAAACAGGUUCCUAAAGCUCAGAAGGAUUUGAUUUGGGAGGACAUUUAGAAUUUGAUAUUUUUUGAAGUGUCUGAUAAAAGGACGAAGAAGAAAAUCCUACAAAUUGUAGGAGAGCGUUGGAGGCAAUUUAAGUCCAACUUGACCUCUAAAUGGGCUCUAGCAAAAGGCAAUGAAGACAAAGUCUGUGAGAAGUAUAGAUUUACGAAA